GUUGGCUAAAUUUGAUACAAUAUUAUUUUUUUUCAUUUGCUAUUUUUUUUUUACGUCAAUACGCGGUUAGGACAUUCUAGCUAAGAUAAUCCUCAGAGAGCUUCAAUGUGCAUGCUGAGACAUGUCGUAAGUCGGUCCUAACUUUAUCAUAAUUUCUGUCCUAAGAAUAUCUUUAAGAAUCGAUCUUAGGACAGUUUCGAUAAACAGGCCCCAGUUCUCAUAGUGUUAUUAUUUUACAAAUAUAUUGUUAUUUAAAUAAAUAAAUGUCUUUUAUUUACUCGCAUUUAUAUUUUAGGCAUUAAGCUUAAUGCCUGCACACAUUUUUCAGGAUUUAAGCUUAAAUCCUAGGAUUUAAGACUAAUGCCUAACAUCAUUUAGGCAAUAGACUUACUGCCUAGGCGUUAGCUUGUUGCCUAGGAUUUAAGCUUAAUGCCUAAUUUCACUUAUUGCCGCUAACAUAUAUAUAUAUUACAG
rnacentral:lncRNA from 1 species